rnacentral:rRNA from 1 species
UACAGAGGUGUCAAACGUUGUCCGGAAUCACUGGGCGUAAAGCGCACGUAGGCGGAUGUGUCAGUCAGGGGUGAAAUCCCGGGGCUCAACCUCGGAACUGCCUUUGAUACAGCACGUCUCGAGUCCGGAAGAGGUGGGUGGAAUUCCUAGUGUAGAGGUGAAAUUCGUAGAUAUUAGGAAGAACACCGGUGGCGAAGGCGGCCCACUGGUCCGGUACUGACGCUGAGGUGCGAAAGCGUGGGGAGCAAACAGG